rnacentral:pre_miRNA from 1 species
AGCUUUUUGAAUCCAUACUAAAAUUUCGUCAGACACCAACUCAUUAGGGCUGAUCAGACUUCCAAGAUAAGUGAAGUU